rnacentral:rRNA from 1 species
GACGAACGCUGGCGGCGUGCUUAACACAUGCAAGUCGAACGAAGUGGCGAACGGGUGAGUAAUACGUGAGUAACCUGCCCUCCUUUUUGGGAUAAGCCUUGGAAACGGGGUCUAAUACCGGAUAAAGGGGGAUGGGCUCGCGGCCUAUCAGCUUGUUGGUGGGGUGAUGGCCUACCAAGGCGGUGACGGGUAGCCGGCCUGAGAGGGUGACCUGCAACAUUGGGACUGAGUUACGGCCCAGACUCCUACGGGAGGCAGCAGUGGGGGAUAUUGCUGAAUGUGCGAAAGCCUGAUGCAGCGACGCAGCGUGGGGGAUGAAGGCUUGCGGGUUGUAAACGUCUUUCGUUAGAGAACGGGUAGGUGGAGAAGAAGCGCCGGCUAACUACGUGGCAGCCGCCGCGGUAAUUC